GGACUACUGGGGUAUCUAAUCCUGUUUGCUCCCCACGCUUUCGCGCCUCAGCGUCAGUAUCGGUCCAGAGAGCCGCCUUCGCCACCGGUGUUCUUCCCAAUAUCUACGAAUUUCACCUCUACACUGGGAAUUCCACUCUCCUCUCCCGAUCUCUAGCCAUCCCGUCCCGAAUGCCGUUCCCAGGUUGAGCCCGGGGCUUUCACAUCCGACAAAAAUGGCCGCCUGCGCGCCCUUUACGCCCAGUGAUUCCGAACAACGCUCGCCCCCUUCGUAUUACCGCGGCUGCUGGCAC
rnacentral:rRNA from 1 species